GGCUCCUCGAAUAAGUGAGAUAUGAGGGGUCGGACCUGCCCGGUGACUAUAAAAUGUUAAACGGCCGCGGUACCCUAACCGUGCAAAGGUAGCAUAAUCAUUUGCCUUUUAAUUGGAGGCUUGUAUGAAUGGUUUGACGAGAGCUAAGCUGUCUCUUUUAAAAUAUUUAAAAAUUAACUUUUAGGUGAAGAGGCUUAAAUGUUGUUGAGGGACAAGAAGACCCUGUUGAGCUUUAGUGAUGUAUCAGAAUGAUUAGAGGUUGGAAAUUUCAUUUGUAUUUCACAGCUUGUUAUAUCUUGUGAGAGAGUGAUUUUUUGGUACAAAUCUUUAGUUGGGGCGACUAAGGAACACUAGAAGCUUCCUUUGAUAAAAUUGGCUGUAGAAAAAUGUUGUAUAGUUUGUUGUAUGCAGGCAUGUUGGGAGUUGAGAUCCAGUAAAAAUACUGAUUAAAGGAAAAAGUUACCACAGGGAUAACAGCGUAAUCUUUCUGGAGAGAUCUUAUCGAGAGAAGGGUUUGCGACCUCGAUGUUGGACUAAGAUAUCCUAAGGGUGUAGAAGCUCUUGAUGGUUGGUCUGUUCGACCAUUAAAAUCUU
rnacentral:rRNA from 1 species